GAUCGCUGUGAUGCGGGCGGUUCGCCGCCCGUGACUCUGCGAGAAGUCCAUUGAACCUUAUCAUUUAGAGGAAGGAGAAGUCGUAACAAGGUUUCCGUAGGUGAACCUGCGGAAGGAUCAUUGUCGAGACCGAAUUAUAUCGAGUGAUUUAGAUAACCUGUAAAAAUUUGCGGUGGCUAUUGCUGCCGAAAUAAAAUCUAUCCCAAUCAUCAUCUGAACCCCCCUCCUUGGGGCGGGGAUGCGAUGAAGGAUGGAUGAACCCCAAACCGGCGCAGCAUUGCGCCAAGUGAAUAACGAAACAAUAUCCCUAAAAUGGGUUUUGUAGCAUGGCAAUGCUAUUGCAUGCCAUAUGGAUUGACAUGACUCUCGGCAAUGGAUAUCUCGGCUCUCGCAUCGAUGAAGAGCGCAGCGAAAUGCGAUACGUGGUGCGAAUUGCAGAAUCCCGUGAACCAUCGAGUCUUUGAACGCAAGUUGCGCCCGAGGCCAACCGGCCAAGGGCACGUCUGCCUGGGCGUCAAGCAUUUAGAUGCUCCGUGCCUUGUCAUCAAUUUAUGGAAGUGUUGGUGAAGGCUCGGAUGUGCAUGGUGGCUCGUCGUGCUCCUCGGCACGGCGGGCUGAAGAGCGGGGCAUCAUCUCGUUGGCUGCGUACAAUAAGUGGUGGAUAAAGGAUAAGGCCUAUUGUAUUGUGCGUGCAUGCCCGAGAGAUGAUCAUAUUAUUUUGGUGAUCCCAAAUCAUGCGUCCAUCCUUAGAUGACGUUUUGAAUGCGACCCCAGGAUGGGCGAGGCCACCCGCCGAGUUUAAGCAUAUCAAUAAGCGGAGGAGAAGAAACUUACGAGGAUUCCCCUA
rnacentral:rRNA from 1 species